UCUAACCAGCCUUCGUGAACACACAGAUACUAAAAGAAAAAAUAACCACCGAAGCCUAGCCUUCCCUCCUACAAAAAAUAAAUGUUUUUUCUUGGUUGUCUCCUCGCCUCACCCACCCAGCACCCAUCAUCUCCACUCCCAGUAGAAACUGUUGUCGUUUCCUCUGCUCCCAACAGCGCCUCCCACAUUACUCCCUCUCUAUCCCCUGGCCCAGCAGUUCAUCUGGUGGAACCACGACAUGAACGGCCUGAACUCUGCCUACUAGCAAAUGUCCUCGCAACUCCUUUCUCCAGAUCUCUUCAUGUCGCCGUCGCCACCGCGUCCACGGAUCAAUAUUGUUCCGCCAUGAUAUUUUCUUCGGGUCACUAGUGUUGCUUAUUUAUGUCAACGUCAAGUGUUUGCCACAAUGGAAACCUCCAGGACGGGAUGCGUACUUUUGUAAGGCCACAUGUGUGUAGGUACUUGCAGCAAAACUGCACAUGGAUUAUUAGGUUGCUCAUAUGUAUAAAUGGAACUGAAUUAGCCGGUUAAGAUUUCAAACAUGUUUUCUUUCUCUCUACUCUGAUGUAUCAUUUCAUUUGAAGGCAUUUAUAACAUUGGUUUGAUCUCAUUUAUGUGAUUACAUAAAAUAUUAAUCAUAUAUGGUCA